rnacentral:lncRNA from 1 species
AGUCAUAUGACAUGCCACCUUGGAAAGCAGAGAACCACAGAUAUCAGAGGCUCAGUCCAUUAUCAUCAUGCCAAGAAGCAUGGCAGUGUCCUGGUGCAGAAGAAAGAGCCAAGAAUUCUCCAUCUUGAACUGAAGGCACAGACAGGAAGAAUGUCUCUUCCACACUGGGAGGAGCUUGAGCACCAGCAGCCCUCAAAGCCUGCCUACACAAUGAUAUACUUCUUCCAACAAGGUAACACCUAUUCCACCAAUGCUGCAUCCCCUAAUUUUGCCACUUCUAUGGGUCAAGCAUAUUCAAACCACUAUAUGUGUGUAUGUGUAUGUGUGUGCAUGUGUGUGUGUGUAAG